AACCUUUGAGGACAAUAGUAUAUGGGGAUGUAGAUGGAGGAUGUCUCUCCCCCUCCUCUUUGCGAACUAGCAGAGAGAGUGAGAGUUCGGACCCUGCUGGAAUCAGCGCUCCUGUGGGUAUCUGCUUAUUUCCAUGGGAACUGGCUCUAUUAAUUUCUCUUUGGAUGCAUUGUGUGAAAUGGUCCAAUUCUAAAUAUCAAUUAAAUCCCCGACACCCUGAGGAAUCAUGCUGAAGUGAGACCCUCGUGGGAGCCCAUUCCAGGCUCAGAAGAAUACUACAGACAAGACAAUAAACAAGCAGCGAAUAGCUACAGCGGGGAAAACAACUCCCUUCGCCUUUCAGACCUAACCGAAAUCAAUGAAGAUAAAGUAAAAGAAAUGAAAACACUGUACAGUAAUCCGGGGGACACCAAUUCACUUCUAACAGAAGCAAACAUAGCUCUUCUGAAGUUAACAGAGUGCUGAACUUGGCCGGUGGCCUUUAAACAGCAGCCAAAGAGAUCUCAGAGAGCAGAGAAAAGUGCAGAGAAGAAUAAAUCUUAA